AACAUCGCCUCUUGCCCCCACAACAUAAGAGGUCCCGCCUGCCCUGUGACGAAAGUUUAACGGCCGCGGUAUUUUGACCGUGCGAAGGUAGCGUAAUCACUUGUCUUUUAAAUAGAGACCUGUAUGAAUGGCAUAACGAGGGCUAAGCUGUCUCCUCUCCUCAGUCAAUGAAAUUGAUCUGCCCGUGCAGAAGCGGGCAUGCUCACAUAAGACGAGAAGACCCUAUGGAGCUUAAGACACCAGGACGGCCCGCGUUAAAGCCCUUGGCUUAUCAAGACUAAACCAAGCGGCCCCCGUCCCCCUGUCUUUGGUUGGGGCGACCGCGGGGUAAUAACCAACCCCCACGUGGAAUGGGUAACACCCUGACCUCAGAGCCACACCUCCAGCUAGCAGAACUUCUGACCAUAAGAUCCGGCAGUGCCGAUCAACGGACCCAGUUACCCUAGGGAUAACAGCGCAAUCCCCUUCUAGAGCCCAUAUCGACAAGGGGGUUUACGACCUCGAUGUUGGAUCAGGACUUCCUAAUGGUGCAGCCGCUAUUAAGGGUUCGUUUGUUCAACGAUUAAAGUCCUACGUGA
rnacentral:rRNA from 1 species